rnacentral:rRNA from 1 species
CCACACUGGAACUGAGACACGGUCCAGACUCCUACGGGAGGCAGCAGUGGGAAUCUUGCGCAAUGGGCGAAAGCCUGACGCAGCGACGCCGCGUGAGUGAUGAAGGCCUUCGGGGUUGUAAAGCUCUGUGGAGGGAGACGAAUAAGGGUUGGCUAACAUCCAGCUCGAUGACGGUAUCCCUUUAGCAAGCACCGGCUAACUCUGUGCCAGCAGCCGCGGUAAGACAGAGGGUGCAAACGUUGUUCGGAAUUACUGGGCGUAAAGCGCGUGUAGGCUGCUCGGAAAGUCGGAUGUGAAAGCCCUGGGCUCAACCUAGGAAGUGCAUUCGAAACUUCCGAGCUGGAGUGCUGGAGAGGAAGGCGGAAUUCUCGGUGUAGAGGUGAAAUUCGUAGAUAUCGAGAGGAACACCGGUGGCGAAGGCGGCCUUCUGGACAGCUACUGACGCUGAGACGCGAAAGCGUGGGGAG